rnacentral:tRNA from 1 species
GAUGAAAUGGCUGAGAUUAGGCAAUAAAUUGUAAAUUUAUCCACGAAAUUCAUUUCUUUCAUCA